AACGAACGCUGGCGGCAUGCCUAACACAUGCAAGUCGAACGAGACCUUCGGGUCUAGUGGCGCACGGGUGCGUAACGCGUGGGAACCUGCCCUUAGGUUCGGAAUAACUCCCCGAAAGGGGUGCUAAUACCGGAUAAUGUCUUCGGACCAAAGAUUUAUCGCCUUUGGAUGGGCCCGCGUUGGAUUAGCUAAUUGGUAGGGUAAAAGCCUACCAAGGCGACGAUCCAUAGCUGGUCUGAGAGGAUGAUCAGCCACACUGGGACUGAGACACGGCCCAGACUCCUACGGGAGGCAGCAGUGGGGAAUAUUGGACAAUGGGCGAAAGCCUGAUCCAGCAAUGCCGCGUGAGUGAUGAAGGCCUUAGGGUUGUAAAGCUCUUUUACCCGGGAUGAUAAUGACAGUACCGGGAGAAUAAGCUCCGGCUAACUCCGU
rnacentral:rRNA from 1 species